rnacentral:rRNA from 1 species
UGGGGAAUAUUGGACAAUGGGGGGAACCCUGAUCCAGCCAUGCCGCGUGUGUGAAGAAGGCCUUAUGGUUGUAAAGCACUUUAAGCGAGGAGGAGGGUACUGGUAUUAAUACUACCAGCUACUGGACGUUACUCGCAGACUAAGCACCGGCUAACUCUGUGCCAGCAGCCGCGGUAAUACAGAGGGUGCGAGCGUUAAUCGGAUUUACUGGGCGUAAAGCGUGCGUAGGCGGCUAAUUGAGUCGGAUGUGAAAUCCCCGAGCUUAACUUGGGAAUUGCAUUCGAUACUGGUUAGCUAGAGUGUGGGAGAGGAUGGUAGAAGUCCAGGUGUAGCGGUGAAAUGCGUAGAGAUCUGGAGGAAUACCGAUGGCGAAGGCAGCCAUCUGGCCUAACACUGACGCUGAGGUACGAAAGCAUGGGGAGCAAACAGG